rnacentral:misc_RNA from 1 species
GAUGAAGAACGUAGCGAAAUGCGAUACGUAAUGUGAAUUGCAAAUUCAGUGAAUCAUCGAGUCUUUGAACGCACAUUGCGCCCCCUGGUAUUCCGGGGGGCAUGCCUGUCCGAGCGUCAUUGCUGCCCUCAAGCACGGCUUGUGUGUUGGGCCCCGUCCUCCGAUCCCGGGGGACGGGCCCGAAAGGCAGCGGCGGCACCGCGUCCGGUCCUCGAGCGUAUGGGGCUUUGUCACCCGCUCUGUAGGCCCGGCCGGCGCUUGCCGAUCAACCCAGAUUUUUAUCCAGGUUGAACUCGGAUCAGGUAGGGAUACCCGCUGAACUUAAGCAUAUCAAUAAGCGGAGGA